AGCGAACGCUGGCGGCAGGCUUAACACAUGCAAGUCGAGCGGGCACUUCGGUGUCAGCGGCAGACGGGUGAGUAACACGUGGGAACGUACCCUUUGGUUCGGAAUAACGCUGGGAAACUAGCGCUAAUACCGGAUACGCCCUUUUGGGGAAAGGCUUGCUGCCGAAGGAUCGGCCCGCGUCUGAUUAGCUGGUUGGUGGGGUAAUGGCCUACCAAGGCGACGAUCAGUAGCUGGUCUGAGAGGAUGAUCAGCCACACUGGGACUGAGACACGGCCCAGACUCCUACGGGAGGCAGCAGUGGGGAAUAUUGGACAAUGGGCGCAAGCCUGAUCAAGCCAUGCCGCGUGAGUGAUGAAGGCCUUAGGGUUGUAAAGCUCUUUUGUCCGGGACGAUAAUGACGGUACCGGAAGAAUAAGCCCCGGCUAACUUCGUG
rnacentral:rRNA from 1 species